AGCUUUGCGCAGUGGCAGUAUCGUAGCCUAUGAGGUUUAUCCGAGGCGCGAUUAUUGCUAGUUGAAAACUUUACCCAAUACCCGCCAUGACGGCUUGAAAUACAGCCGGCUACGGCAAUUUUUGACGGUCUCUACGGAGC
rnacentral:snRNA from 1 species